CAUGCAGCAGGCACACCAGCCCUCUGUUACCCUGGAUGAAGACACAACUAUCUUGAGGCUGCGCUCCCGACAUGUGCUGAACAAGGCUGGCGAAGACAGAGGCUUCACGUCGUACUUCCUGAUCCUCAUCUUGUAGCAGUUCCUCAGAGGGCACUAUGGGCCAGACACUGAGCAGAGCAAUGGCCUUGCUCCGAUGGAGGGUCACUGAUGGAAGGACACCCGUGUGUGCACCCCAUGGCACUGCUAGGAAUAAGCAGCUAUUACUCACUGAAGAGCUGGAUGGCUGCGUUUCUCAUGGCCCAGCUAGACGAGCCUAGUGCCUUCAGAAGCAGAGCCAUCAUAGGCGGGACAUACUGGAGCAGCGCCGUUCCCAGGCCGGAGCCACGCACCAGUGUCUGCAACACAUGCAAGGCAGAGACCUGCAGAGAACACACAACAAAGAUCACUGGGGUGGCCCAGGGACUUCUUGGGGCCCACUGGCAGAAGGCAGUGCCCUGGGUCUGGUCUCUACAGAAUCGUUCAUCAAAGGGUGUCUUGUAAGGUCUCCAGUGAAAGCCUGUGUCAUGCUGAUCGACAUAAUCCCCGUGAAGUGUUUGUACAGGUAAUAUGUAAAGAGGGGACGGUGUUUCUUUCGGGUGAGAGCUGCUUAUCCACCUGUCCAGCUAUAUGUAAAUUGAAUACUGUAUACUUCACAGACUGACCGCAGUGCUAAUUAAGAGAUUGUGAAAUCUCCAUGGGAAAGUCUCUGCAGGAAAAAACAAGCAGCAGGAGGUAUCCUGUUUGCAAGUGAUGACAGUGGAUGGCUGGAACUACAUCUGGGGAUACAGUGGUGUGCCCAGGUAUCCUUCACUGAGGGGUCAAGCUGCCAGCUGGUUUGUCUUUUGAACGGAGGAUCACAGCUGGUCUGACUGAUGAGGAGAGAGAGACUUUGGAGCAGCUUUCAUUGCCACGGAGCUUCACGUACUACACAGAAUGCAGAUGGGUCGCUUCUGGGGACACAGCAAACACUAGGCAGUAGUUCGGGGAAGCAAACGGAAAGCCGUCUGCCUCAGCUGGAUCGGCCAGGGAAGGUAAGUCGGUGUGACGCUGCGGUGAACAGCUCUACUCUAGUGAAAACCAGCAGGACGCCUGGAGUGGGCACAAGUGGUUUGCUUGCGUGGUUUGUCUCAUCUGAGAGAUGGCGCCGCAGGCCGCACGGUGACCCCAGCCCCGUUCGGAGGGCAGGGUCCUCGCUCAGCAGCACCACUGCCUGGGAUUCAGGAGGCAGCCUGCCUGGCUAACCAACAUAGGCGAGAGGUAGAUCUCUUCUGCUGAAUAUCAUCCACUGAUGCGUGAGCUGAACCGCUCAGCGCUCAGGCCUCUUACCUGAG